rnacentral:rRNA from 1 species
GGAGUCUACCUAUUAUGCGAGUGUUGGGGUGGAAAAACCCGAACGCCAACCGAAAGGGAUUUUAAGAUGUGAGGCGCGAGCUACAACAUCAACCAAUCUUGAUUCUUUGAAGAAAGACUUGAGUAAGAGCAUAAUCGGUAGGACCCGAAAGAUGGUGAACUACGGUUGAGUAGGGUGAAGCCAGGGGAAACUCUGGUGGAGGCUCGAAGCGUUACUGACGUGCAAAUCGUUCGUCAAACUUGACUGUAGGGGCGAAAGCUAAUCGAACCAUCUAGUAGCUGGUUCCCUCUGAAAUUUCUCUCAGGAUAGCAGGAACAGAUAUAGCAGUUUUAUCAGGUAAAGCUAAUGAUUAGUGGAAUCGGGGGUCUCCGACCCUUGACCAAUUCUCAAACUUUAAAUUGGUAAGAACCUGAAGUUUUCUUAAUUGAACUUUAGGGUAGUAAUGCAUUGUUCUUAGUGGGCCAUUUUUGGUAAGUCAGAACUGGCGAUGAGGGAUGAACCUAACGUUGAGAUAAGGUGCCCAAAUUCACGCUCAUCAGACACCAUAAAAAGGUC